AUUAUAGUAAUGCUAGUAUAAUAGUCCCAGUAUUCAUGUAGGAUGUUAUUUUUCAGAUUUGAAAUUUAUUUGUGACUUCCAUAUUUUUGUUUGCCUUUUCAAUUUGCAAACAAAAUUCGAUUUGCAGCUGCUCAUUAUUGAGUGAAACCAAUCUGUACACGACUUAUUCCCUGGUGUAUGCUUGGUGUGCACAAAUAAUGAUUAGACACCAACC
rnacentral:lncRNA from 1 species